rnacentral:rRNA from 1 species
CGCGACGCUGGCGGCGUGCCUAGUACAUGCAUGACGAGCGGAUCGAUGGGAGCUUGCUCCCUGAGAUCAGCGGCGGACGGGUGAGUAACACGUGGGUAGCCUGCCUGUAAGAAUGGUAUAACUCCGGGCAAGCGGAGCUAAUAUUACAAACCAUUCACCCUUCAAUGGGGCAAGUUGCAGCCUACCAUCCGAUCUGACUUCGGGAUGGUCGCGAUGGGCUUAACCUAGUGGGCUUGGAACCGUUUGACCGGCAUUGAUCAGCACCGGCAAGGCGGGUUGACAUCUCCCACACUUCUUCUUGUAUGGCAAGGGGAUUUUAGAGCACAAAAUUGCGGGGAAGGGGGGCCGUGAAUGGUCC